GCCCGCUUGGCCGAGUGGUAAGGCGUUUCACUCGUAAUGAAAAGAUCGACGGUUCGAUUCCGUCAGUGGGCA